UGGGGAAUAUUGCACAAUGGGCGCAAGCCUGAUGCAGCAACGCCGCGUGAGGGAUGACGGCCUUCGGGUUGUAAACCUCUUUUAGCAGGGAAGAAGCGAAAGUGACGGUACCUGCAGAAAAAGCACCGGCUAACUACGUGCCAGCAGCCGCGGUAAUACGUAGGGUGCAAGCGUUGUCCGGAAUUAUUGGGCGUAAAGAGCUCGUAGGCGGUCUGUCGCGUCUGCUGUGAAAUCCCGAGGCUCAACCUCGGGCCUGCAGUGGGUACGGGCAGACUAGAGUGCGGUAGGGGAGAAUGGAACUCCUGGUGUAGCGGUGGAAUGCGCAGAUAUCAGGAAGAACACCGAUGGCGAAGGCAGCUCUCUGGGCCGUAACUGACGCUGAGGAGCGAAAGCGUGGGGAGCGAACAGGAUUAGAUACCCUGGUAGUCCACGCCGUAAACGUUGGGCGCUAGAUGUGGGGACCAUUCCACGGUUUCCGUGUCGCAGCUAACGCAUUAAGCGCCCCGCCUGGGGAGUACGGCCGCAAGGCUAAAACUU
rnacentral:rRNA from 1 species